GACGAACGCUGGCGGCGUGCUUAACACAUGCAAGUCGAACGGGAUUUAGUAAACAGAAACCUCGGUGGAAGAUUACUAAUGAGAGUGGCGAACGGGUGAGUAACGCCUGAGCAACCUGCCAAUGACAGUGGGAUAGCCUCGGGAAACCGGGAUUAAUACCGCAUAACAUCGUAGAAACACAUGUUUUAACGGUCAAAGAUUUAUCGGUCAUAGAUGGGCUCGCGUCUGAUUAGCUUGUUGGUGAGAUAACAGCCCACCAAGGCGACGAUCAGUAGCCGGUCUGAGAGGAUGAACGGCCACAUCGGAACUGAGACACAGUCCAAACUCCUACGGGAGGCAGCAGUGGGGAAUAUUGCACAAUGGGGGAAACCCUGAUGCAGCGACGCCGCGUGAACGAAGAAGGUAUUCGUAUCGUAAAGUUCUGUCCUAUGGGAAGAUAAUGACGGUACCAUAGAAGAAAGCUCCGGCUAAAUACGUG
rnacentral:rRNA from 1 species